CCGAGCCGAGCCGAGCGGAGCGGAGCGGAGCCGCCAGCAGGUGUCACAGCGGGUCCCCUCCGCGCCCGGCAGCGACCAUCGGCGCCCGCCACGGGGACCGCGACGGCGCCCGCCCCGGCCGCGCUGCCCCGCUCCUGCUCCGCCAGCGCGGAACGCCGAGCCCGGAGGAGCAGCGAGCGAAGGAGUCUGCUGCUGCUCCAAUGGUGGCGUUUCCAAGGACGAAACUGGGACAGGAUCUGAAAACGUUUUACAAACCGAUAUACAAAUUACCAUGCAGAAAGCUAUUCAUCCACCAUGCAAACAACUACAGCCCAAGGCAAAACACAGCAACUAUAUAAUAAACACAACAAAUUUUACUAAAUGAAGAAAGUCUUCUCCAGUCAAGACCACGAGGAAAAUGUUAAGUAAACAGCAUAUAGCAACAUAGGAUUUAGGAAGAACCUUACUUUCAGAAUCCUGAUUCUUGGACAGAACACAAGGACAUCUCCUGAACACUGGCUAUCAUAAUAUUGAGUCAAAUAAGUAUAUUCUUAAGAAUAUUAGGCUUAGUAUUAAGAACAAGCAUACAUAAUAUUAAAGGUUAAGAAUUAAUAAGAAUGCUAUCCAAAUACAGCAGUGCAAUGAAUUCAGCCUCAUCCUGGAGAACUGGUUUAGUAGAAGUAUGUUAUUGCCUCCUGACAGAAUAGGAAAUGGACCACAUUUUGGGACCAAAGCAAGUAAAAUCAAGAGGGUGACAGAGAAGUCUAAUACUAAUUAAGAGUUUGGAUAAGCUAAUCCAUACUAAUUUAUCCAAGCAUAAUUUCACAUGGUUAUCCAGCACAACUUUCUAAUAUAUAUGUCUUGCAAAUUCCAAGGCUAAUUUACUGUACAUCUUCAUACACAUUUCACAAUAUUGGUGUUACAUUAAAAAUGGUUCCAUCCAAGAAAGAGGAGUAUCUACAAGACCUAGGGAGGAAUAAAUAAAUAUAGCACUUUACUCAGCAAUACUAUUUCUUUAGGCAUUGAAAUUUCUGCAACCUAUGUUUGCAAAACAAGAAACAUGGUGGCCCAGAUUGAACACCUUGGCAUUUGGAAGGCAAAUGCCUGAACUCUCAGUUUGGUCUUCAUUCCAAUUAUGGUGCUCAGACAUUUUCUUUGAAUAACAUCCUGUGAUUUUCAGUGUUUUAAGCUUAGCAGUCAUUCCACCACUUCUGCUCUAUAAAGAAGAUGGCAGAGAUAUUUAAGGGUGCGUACAGAAGUCAGAGGGUGAUUUGAGGCAGGAGAGAGCUCUUCCUCUUUCAAUAUAAUCAAAAAUCUCUAAUUAGAAGCAAAUUGUGUAAGAAAAAAUGCAGGCAGUGGGAAAAUUAAUACUGGAGAUUUAGGAGGACACAUUAAUAAGAAAUGUUACAGAAACUUUGGGACUAUUUUUAACCUUGAGAAUUGGGCAUGAACCUCAAAUUUUGAAAACUCUGUUGACAUUGGCCUCCCAGGAGACUUGCAGAGGACCAAAUAUUGGCACAAGAGUACUUAGAUUCUAAAUAACUAUCUAAAAUGAGUCCCAGCAUCAUUACUCAUCGGGGAGCUACAUUCAGAAACCCUCUUGAGGAUUUCAACAGGCUAUCGGGCAAGAGAAGCAGACAGAUAAAGAAUUGCUGAUGGCUCUAACCCUGGAGAUUCUUGUAGGUUUGAGAAAAAAUGCUAUUAAGGAGAGGAGCUAUCCUUCACAUCCCUCCCCUAAGCUAAGCUGAUACAAUGAAAAAAUCACACAGAUGAGCAAGAAAACAGUUGGUAUUAUGAAAGUCUGAAACUCUUAGGAUGGCUGCUUGGUUGGGAAAUUGGCACAGAUGUAAAGGAGAGAAAGUAAUGGAGCCGCCAAUUCAGUAUCGAGGAUCGUGACAUGCAAAUGCCAGGAGAAUGAGAAAUAGCAGCAGGAAGCUGAAGUUUUAGUACUCAGUCAACAAUAUAAACAGCACUAUAGCAUUAAUGGGAUGCAUCACAGAAUUGGGAUUUUGCUAUAAAAGGGCAAUAAAUUGUUCAAGAAGAGCAAGAACAGAGAAAAAGGAGGCUUUGCCUCUGUAUCAAUAACAUAUAUCCUUGCCCUGAAGCCUGCAGUUCAACAAGUUAAAAGGAAUUACAUUCUUCUUGAAUAACUCUGAGUAAAGAUAAAAGGAACCAAGAGUAAGUGUGGUACAAUGUAAGGAGUCAUUCUUACUUAUUUACCCUUGAAAAACAAGCACAGACCUUAGUCUUCACAAAUAUCUUGAGAUGCAUGUCUUUGUAUUAAAGGGAAUAACACAUAGGAACGUCCUAGAGAAGGACGAGGCAACAAGGAGGAUUUUUAUUACAUGAAUGUCUGAUGGAAAAGCAAUGCAGGUGGACAAAGACGAUACAUCAACUUUCUGAAUAUUUUGGGGACACCGUUUUAUUUUCAAAAAAAGGAGAAGCUACAAGGGAAAUGGAGAUAAUGUGGAAAAACUGGUUAAGAAUCUAAAGUUGGAAAGUUAUGUGGAUGAUUAGGAAAAAGGGAAGAGGAAAAGGUACAAAGCAUAAAGGACUUUAGCAAAAGCACACAUCAAAAGAAGCAAAAAGAGAAAGGGAAUAAGGCUGAUGUUUCUAAUGUCUCCGUUACACAAAAAGGUUAAGACCAGAUGCUUAGAUAUGUACUAGUUAUGAAGGCCUGAAUAUGAAAAUAAAUAAAAGAGGUAAAUAAUUAGAUAAAUCAAGUCUAUUCAAAUCAACAAAUCAAUCUCACUCAAAAAUAUUUAAAGUAUUCGGCAUCUCUGAACCAUUUAAGAGAACUCUCUGUGAGCUUCAAAAGGAUGGGAUAACACUGGAGGACUGGAGAAUAGCAAGAAUUGUGCUUGCCUUAGCAAGGAAGAAAAGGAGAAAAUGCACACAAGCAGUUUCAUUUUGAGCUCUCAGAAAAACAUAUAAACAAAUAAGUUUACAGAAGAUAAGGUGAUUAAAAGAACAGCCAUCAUUAAUUUAUCCAGGCCAUAUAGUACCUAAAACAUCUACUUUUCUUCUUCAAUAGGCUAAGUGUGGGCAAUCAGGAGAAAGUACUGUAAGAUUUCAGACAUAGUAUCACAUGAUUUUCUCGUAAGAAAACUAAGGAAAUGAGUCCUAGAUUAAAUUAUUUCACAGCUGGUUAACAAACUACAUGAAAUAUUAUUUCUCAGUAGUUAAUUGCCAAAAGGGGAAGUAUUUUCAAUUAGGACCUUUCAUGGAGUUGUGUACAGUUCAUUAUGAUUCAGUGCUUCAUUGCGAUUUAUUAGAGAAUAUUCUUAUAAACGAUUACAAGUACAAAACUGAGACUUUGGGACAUGCAGAAAGGUGGAUUACAUACGAUGUUGAGGACGGGAUCAGAAUUCAAUGCAGUCUAAAUAAACUGGAGAAAUGAUCCAAAAUCAACAAUGUGAAAUUCAAUAAAAACACGUAAAGUGCUACACCUAGCAAGAUCAGGUGCGCAAAAGCAGUAAGAGGAUAAACUACAGUCCAAAAGUAAUACUGAGGAAGAGCUCCACAUUGCAGUGAGCAAUGAGCUCAGUGUGACUCAGCCAUGCAAUGCUGUUCCCCAAAAAAGCACACUUCAUUCCCAAGUCAGGUGCAGAGCAGAGUUCGUAUAUAUAUGGCAGCAAAGACUUGUGUGAUCUGUUCAGUCUGAGGGAGAGAUCUCAUGGGGUUCUGUGGCUCAUUUUGGUCACUGCACUAAGAAAAGCAAGAAGAAGGGGAGCAACAAGGCAAGUAGUUAAAGAAGCCUGAGAUCUGCGGAGCAGCUAAGGAAACUGGAUUUACAUAAUCUAGAGAAAACAAGAGGAGAUUUCAUUUGCCUACAUUUCAUAAAUCUUCCGGUAUGUGAAAGCAUGUUAUAAAGACAGUGGACACCUGUUUGGAAAAGUCAGUUACUGGAAAAGACAAGCAUCUGCAGUACGAGAACCAUCCAUCAGGAAUGUGUCUCCAGCGAGAAGGGCCACGAGGCACUCCACAACCUAGCAAAGGAGGUUAUGGGGUUUCUCUCAUUACCCACUUGAUCGCAGCUGGCCAGGUACUGUCAGAGGGGUUUACAUGCACUUGAGGAAUGGACAAGAGGAUUUUGAGGAGCUCUUUCAAAUCCUACAUUUCCAUGAUUCCUUGUGUCCCCUUCCCUCCCACACUCCCUGCUCUCCCUGAAACAGAAGUUUCUCGAUGGUUUUCAUGGUUUCAGGACAGACAUGUAGCAAGGCUUCUCUCCUAGAAAGCCUGUAUCCAAUCAUCAGCAAUUUAGUCCUGCUUAGCAGAGAAGGCCAACGCUUACUGCUGGACACGUGCGUCCCCUCAGAGAGCAUUGCUGCUACACUUGCACCGGGCAAAGCAGGGAGGAGCCUUCAGCAAGGACGGGAGCUGCUGAGGCCCAAGCGCGCUGCACCCACACCUCGCUCCACGUUCCUCAGCUCACUGCAUCGUGGGCGUACGGGCUCCUGAAUCAAUUUUUCAGCCAUCCUUAGCUUGCAGUAUAAAUAAAUCCAAUGACACUUUACCACAUACCUGAAAUUAAGCAUGUGCUUAAGUGCUUAGCUCAACAGCAAUAUACUUUAAGGACAUACUUUAAAACUCUGCAAACUGUGUCUUUAUAGCUUUCCAAAGUCAUUAUGAUGGUGACAUGGGUCUAAAUUAUUACUACACAGCAAUGUAAUUGCCUGCUAUAAGAAAGAAACCUGAAGAAGCAAAGUAGUAUGAAAAAGAAUACCGGUAAUCUUCAUUUAGUAUGUUCAUGGUUUUUUUCAGGGCAAACUGAUGAAAACAAUGGUCUUCUGAGUAGUCCUGUUGUUAGGAAGUUAUUUUCUGAAAUCAAUUGACAUGCAAAUUUUAUGUUCAAUAAUGUUCCCUUACAUACAGGUGACAGCAGGCCAUAGCAUCUACACAUAUGUGAGUUUAAGAACAAGCUCUGCACCAGAUCAAAGUAAGCAGCUUUACCCCACAAACUGAAAUAUGACUUUAACACAGAUGGGAAAGUGGGGGCUCUCUAAAUAUUUGAGGGCUUGAAACCAAAAGAAAAAAAGAAAAAAUAGCUGCCUUAUAGCUACCAAACAUGACUAGUCUCGUAAUGACUUUUUUGGGGGAAAAAAAUCUAUAAAAAUCUAUAAGCUUUUCAUCUUUCUUUUUCUGGCACUCACUUUCACUCCUACUAAACAUAUCCUUAUUUUGACCCUUGGGAUCCAACACUGACAGUUACUUCAGUGUAGUCAAUAUUUAUCUGUCUGAUCAAAAGACCUUCAACAAAAGUCAAUAUCUGUGUUUUCUUAUAUGGCAGCAAGCAAAAGAAACUGCAGAAUUGCAGUUUUGUAUAUUACCUGUCAGGGUGCAUGGUCUUUUUUUUUAAUUGCAUAUUUUAUGGUAUGCUUAACUGUACUUCAUUACUUCAUGUAAAAUGAAAUCUUUACAAGGGUAUUCCAUAUCGCAUCCUUCAGCUUGACUUUAUUUAAAGAAUGAGAUGUUUUAGCAUCUCCCUCAUCUUGGAGCACAGUCUUCCACGUGUUUAAACACAAAGAUUUAAACACCGUUCUUCAGACAAUCUGUCAUCAUGGGACUUUCACAGAAAGAAGGUAGGAAGAAAGGACAGCAAACUCUUCUGGAAAACAGAGCGUCAGAAAAUUAUUAGUAAUUCUCAGCAUUUACAGUCACUGUUAAAGGAGGCAUUAUCAGUGACAAGUCAUUGAGAAGAAGAACUGCAAAGCCACAAAGAAGACCAAGUAAUUUGCAAAAGUACAGUAGGUCAUCACAAUGAUGCCAAGAUAGGUUUAAGUGAUAGAAAUUCUAUGUAUGCUCAUGUAUUAUACACUCUAAAAUAACAUUUAACCACUGAGGUCAGGUCACGAUUUGACAUCUUUUUUAAAAUGUAUUAAUGACAUUUAGAGAUCAAAAGUAAGUGUUUAAUGAUACAUAAAAAAAUGUGACUUUUCCCCCCUCAGGACUUUUCUUUGUUUAUCGCUUCUUGCCCUUUAAUUAAAAAAAAAAAAAAUCAUGGCUCUAAUUGAAGAAAACAAAAGUAACCAUCCAGUGCUUCAUUAAAAAAUAACAGCUUGAAUGCACAUUUUGUGAGGUGGUUAAUGAAACAGUUUCAUUAGGGCUUACACUAUCUUAUUUAGUAGCCAUAGUCAAUGUUCUAUAACAUUUACCCCCUAAUAUGAGCAAGAAAAUUGUGAAUAUGUUGACAUUCAAGAGUAAUUUUUUUCCUAGUGUCUGCUCUAGACAAAGUUCACCCAAGUUAAAGCCUUUUACAGACUCUUGGAUUUGUUUAAAGUAACUCAGUUAGCUCCACUCUCAGUUAGUACCACUCUGGGAGCAACAGGUAAAUAUUCAAGCACCGGCACCUGAACAGCCAGAACCCCACCAGCAACAGGGGUUUUGCUGCAUCAAGGCUGAUCUGCGUUUCCAGCUGCAGAAUUGGGUACCUUAUUCCAACAGAAAUUGUACAGCUAUGAAUCUUACUUGACUGAAACUAUUCAGAAUAAAGGGGCCCCUAGCUCGCCACAGGUUUGGUUUAGCAAUUUGGUAUUUCAGUGUACAUGACCGAACUGCUAACUUAUAGCGCUUAAUCCAAGACUUAAAGUACAUGUCAAAAGUGCAAUGCAUAGGUUGUUUAAGCAGGAAAAUAAGACUAUAGGCUCAGUCUUCAAGUGAAACUCAGCAGUCAUUAACUAUGGAAGACCAAUCAAACUGGCUUCAUAUUGGCAUCUCUGGGACUCCAAAAGCAUUUCACAGUGCUAACGGACUUUCUCAUCUAAAACUACUGUAUGACUAUUUUUAGCAAUCAUCUCUUUCUGCCAGAUUUUUGACUUUUCCACCUAAAGAAGGACAGAACAGGUGGUAUAAAGUGUGAUGAUUUCCCAGCAUGAGGAAAAUCAUUAAUUGCUUAUUUACAGUGAUAAAAGGGGACUUAUUGCAGGACAGGAUUUAGCUGAUGGCCGUUUCAAACUCAGAUCGGUUCGAAGUGAUAACAGAAGUACUUCUGCUUAUAAAGGGGUUGCCAGCAUGGCUGAAGUGUAGCUAAGUCAUAGCAUUUUUGCAGAGCUACUGAGGGCAGUAUGGCUUUUACAAACAGUCCAGCUGGAAACCUGAGAAGAACUGUGUGUACUUCAAGUUCUUUAAAAAAAGUGAAGAAUAAACUCGGGAGCUGUUUUGUCUUCUUAAUCUUCACGUAGGAAUUUCUAUGCUUCAUAACAACAGGAGAAACAAGAGCGCAAAAAGCAUUCUGAAUCCCCACCCUUGUCUCCCCAGAAGAGCAGUAACAUUUCAAACCCUGCUUAAGAGCACGUCAACUAGAGCAGUAAUCAAAUUAGAAAAUGCAGCUGCACAUCGCAGAGGCAACUGCUCAAGUUUUGUCCUGUACCUAAUGUGUCACGUUGUCUGCUAGGUUUGCCACGGUGGCAUUGAAAGUAGCCCACUUUUGCUAAAACUUAAUCAUUUCUCAUUUCCAGAAAAAAGAAACAAGCUAUGCUUCUCUUCAACCUGUAUUUCCAGCAUAUUCAUUCUGUAGUACUUCAAAUGCUGAAUAUUGAGCCUACCUUGCCAUUGUUGUAUAUUUUUUGCAAUCAUUUACAUCUCUGUAAACCAUAUAACAUAUAUGUUUAUGCUAAUGCAUUCAUUGUGCCAAUUACAAAAGACGAAAACCAGAGAUAAUCAGGGCCACAAUGUAUAAUCAUCAUUCUUUCUAAAUUUCCUCUUUUAACUCCUCACUUUCUUUUAUCCUUAGUAUUAUUAUUUCCUGGCAGAUAGCGUCAUUUCCAAAUUGAAAAGGGAGAAAGAAAGAAGGGGAAGUCAUUCUUUGGGCAGCAUGUCAAAAAGGUCAAUCUUUUUUGUAUUUGCAGAUACAGGACUGAUUAGUGCAGCUCAAGCUUUAGGAAAGCAUGCCUGCCUUGGACGAACUAGUAUAUACCACCAGAAAAAUAGCAAUUCCUAACACAGAAUGCAGCUAAUAAUUUGGAUAUGCAACAUAUUAUAGAACGUGCACUGUAGAAUGAGUCUUAAAGCAUUAGACCCAUAUAAAAGAAAAGCGUAAAGAUUAGAAAACGCAGAUUUACCCUUUUAUCGGUUUCUUGCUCUGCCUUCAACUUGCCUUUUCUGAGGCAAGCCUCAGCUACAGAAGCUGAAACCUUCUAAGCAGACAACACUACUGAGGGUGGCACUGUCUUCCAGCAUGGGACCAUGUUGAGUUUUUAGCUUAUGUUAGCAUGAAGAUAAUAAUUCAGUAGCAUAUCACCUCCUAUGCAAGAAUUUUCGGAGCUGGCAUAAAAAGAUAGAAAUUGCAAAAUAUAUUUUCCUUUCUUUGCUGUUGGAAGCUCUUUGAGAUAACAUUUCUCCAUUUUCGUUCAAGAUAGAUUCCUUUUCUUCCCCCUUUUUUCUCAUCUCUUUACACUGCCUUUCCUCCUCCACAGUGGGAAUACUCUUUCUCAGUUUAUGACAAUAACGGCUGCGAAAACACAGUAUUCCUUCUCCGUAGUCUCAGGACUGACACCCCAAAAUACAAAUACAGUAAAUGAGACACUCUCUCCGCCCUGGGAGUACUUCUAAAUUUACUUUUCUAUGUAUUCUUUAACAAUAAAACUCCUUCCAAGCUGCAACUAUAGUGUUGAAAGUAAUGUUUACCUUCUAAAAAGAAAAUCUUCUGUGUAUUGCAGUGUGCGCUAAUAACAUCUUGUAAUAACCAUCACCUAGUAAAUAAUCAUUUAAACUAGGCAGAACUAAGCAGGCAAUGAGUUAAAAACUUCCAGUUUUCAUCGUCAAAAAAACGAAAAGACAAGAAAAAAAAAAAGCUACUGAGUCAUAAAAGAUCAUGAACUUCCUGUAGAUGUACAGAGCACUGUAGCCGUAAACACCUAAUAGCUUUGGACAUUGGAGGCCCUUACUUUCCAAGGAGGAAUCAGGAAACAAAGCCAUAUGUACCUUCACUCCCACACACCAACCUGUGUCUCACAAUAAAGGAAAGAAUUUCACUUCAUUUUUAAAGAAACUGAAAAUAUUCUAGAAUAAGUGGAUGCAGAAGCUGUUCUGAAGGACUGACAUUAAAAGCAAGUACUUAUCUCUAUGAUAAUUCAAUGCUUGCCAUUUUAUUAGAGAAUUUCCUAAAGAAAAAUAUGUUGAAUGCUUGCUAAUACUAGUGGGCAAGACUUAAACAUUUUUAUUAUACUGCAAUAACUCUCAUAUUUUAGCAUUUUAGAAUGAAUCUAGUUAAUCUACUUCAUUCUUUCUCUUUUACAUUAAUAACCUAGGCAACAUUUUUUCAAUCUUUUACAAUCCUUUUAUGUAUUUUUUCACUGCUCAAAAGCCUUCUAGAAACUCAUGCAUCUCUCGACUUCAGCAUGGAGCUUUGCAGGCGCAGGUGUGUUUGCAGCAAGGAGUAACAUUCAUGCUGGCAUUUUAUCCAAGGAAGAACGGGGCAGCUGGAGCAAGCUGGCAUUGUUGUAUUUACCUGCUUAACUAUUUUAACGAUGUCGAGUCUCACGUUUAACGGGCUCCCAACCCCACUCGGCAGCUGUCUCUCCAGGACAGACGCAGCUGCCUGGUGCCGCAGCUCCCUGAAGCCAGCACGCAGGGUACUGAAGCAGGGAAAAGCUGUCACAUGGAGCUACCAGACAGCAUGUGUCUUCUCACGGACCCGCGGUCUCGCACUUGCCCUCCCUUGCUGCCUGGGCUGACGGAGGGUUUGUACCCGCUUGCCGUGACGCCCCAGCACGCUGAGCCUCGGGUACUACGUAGGAAACGGCACCCGUCAGAAGCAACACCCAUAAACCGAGCCCAGCACCGGCGCUGCUCCCUGCAGAUGCUUCAUCCUUCAUCAGUCCCUGAAAUCACUGUAGCAGAGGGACUGAUCCCCCCAAGAGUGCAUACAGCCCAAGUGAAUACAUAAACCGACAAAGACCCCAAACGUUACGAAGCAUCGGCAGGGGUACCUCGAGUAGAAACACUGAAAAAUAUGAGUGAAUAUGAGUCACUCGUUACACCAGGACAUUAAAACACCAUUCAAUCCUAAAAAAGAAUGGCAAUGCCAAAAUACUUCAUUUGAAAGCUAUUCUAACUUCUUAAGAGAAAAUUGAAUAAAUGGGCUUUUGACAACCAGA